rnacentral:rRNA from 1 species
UACGUAGGGUGCGAGCGUUAAUCGGAAUUACUGGGCGUAAAGCGUGCGCAGGCGGUUUUGUAAGACAGAGGUGAAAUCCCCGGGCUCAACCUGGGAAUGGCAUUUGGGACUGCAAGGCUGGAGUGUGGCAGAGGAGACUGGAAUUCCCGGUGUAGCAGUGAAAUGCGUAGAUAUCGGGAGGAAUACCGAUGGCGAAGGCAGGUCUCUGGGCUGGACAACUGACGCUCAUGCACGAAAGCGUGGGGAGCAAACAGG